rnacentral:tRNA from 10 species
GCGGAUAUGGCGGAAUUGGCAGACGCGCUAGAUUCAGGUUCUAGUGAGCAUUACGCUCAUGCAAGUUCAAGUCUUGUUAUCCGCA